rnacentral:lncRNA from 1 species
ACACCCAGCCCUGGGCAGGCUCCGGCGGAGAGCGCCAAGAAUCAGCCUGUCCCCGGGGCUGCGCGGGUUGCACUCUCUGCUCACGGCCCCCGUCCCUCCAGCCAGCUCUCUUCCGGCUUCGUGUCCUGGGCCGGCCUGAAAGACGGGAGCAUGGGACACACACGCUCACCGGAACUCACGGCACGCGUCCCUGCGCAGCCCCGCUGCUCUCUACUCCCUCUGGCCAAGCUCGCCCUGGACCUCGGAGCCGCCCAACCUCAGUCCAACUCCUCCUCCCUGCUCUCCCGGUGUAGGCGCUGCUUCUGCUUUCACCAUCUUCCCUCCCAAGGCGCGCAGCCCUGGAGCCGCAGGGCUGGGCGGAGAGAGGGCGCUGUGACCAGGGUUGGGCAAUCAAGUUCCAUGCAUAAUGAGCAGUUUAAAACCACGAAGGAGAAAGGGUGACAGACACAAGGAUUGUGGCAGACAGGCCCCGUUGUUGAUUGAAUAUGUGAAUGCAGACCCAUGGAUACAUAGAGCCUACUCUGGAUGUGUAUAUGUAGACCAUGUAUAUUGCUGCUCCCUGGGGUGGGGUCCUGGAGUGAGGAUGAAACAGAAGACGGAGCCCCAGCUGACCUGCCUGCGGGGAAAGCACAAGAAUAUAAAUAAACAUGUCAUCUUUCCUGACAGAUGUCUCAUGCAGUGUUCAACCACAGUCCUGUUCUUCAGAGAUAUCCCCAGCUAAAUAAAACUCCCAGCUUCUUUCCUUUUA